UUAUACUCGACCGUCAGCGGCACGUGCGAUCGCGCGUUUCGGCGUGCGGUCACGAAGCCCUGACGAGUAGGAGGGUCGCGGCGGUGAGCGCAGAAGGGCUGGCCGCGAGGCCGUCUGGAGCCGCCGUCGGUGCAGAUCUUGGUGGUAGUAGCAAAUACUCCAGCGAGGCCCUGGAGGACUGACGUGGAGAAGGGUUUCGUGUGAACAGCCGUUGCACACGAGUCAGUCGAUCCUAAGCCCUAGGCGAAAGCCGAUGUCGAUGCGGUGUGGAUUUAUAUAUCUUUUUUUUUACGACGGCGACGACGACGACCGCGUCGACGACGACGACGACGACGACGAAGAACGAGAUAAUAGUUAAUUCGUUUCUUCGACGUACGACGUACGACGUACGACGACGGCGUCGACGACGACGACGACGUAUACACGAGAAGUUUCGAUCGAACACACCCAUCGGGCGAAAGGGAAUCCGGUUCCUAUUCCGGAACCUGGCAGCGGAACCGUCAAAAAGUCGGGC
rnacentral:rRNA from 1 species